AGAGUUUGAUCAUGGCUCAGGACGAACGCUGGCGGCGUGCUUAACACAUGCAAGUCGAACGGUAAGGCCCCAGCUUGCUGGGGUACACGAGUGGCGAACGGGUGAGUAACACGUGGGUGACCUGCCCCGCACUUCGGGAUAAGCCUGGGAAACUGGGUCUAAUACCGGAUAGGACCGCACCGUGAGGGUGUGGUGGAAAGUUUUUCGGUGUGGGAUGGGCCCGCGGCCUAUCAGCUUGUUGGUGGGGUAAUGGCCUACCAAGGCGGCGACGGGUAGCCGGCCUGAGAGGGUGGACGGCCACAUUGGGACUGAGACACGGCCCAGACUCCUACGGGAGGCAGCAGUGGGGAAUAUUGCACAAUGGGCGGAAGCCUGAUGCAGCGACGCCGCGUGGGGGAUGACGGCCUUCGGGUUGUAAACUCCUUUCACCAUCGACGAAGGUUUUCUGACGGUAGAUGGAGAAGAAGCACCGGCUAACUACGUGCCAGCAGCCGCGGUAAUACGUAGGGUGCGAGCGUUGUCCGGAAUUACUGGGCGUAAAGAGCUCGUAGGUGGUUUGUCGCGUCGUCUGUGAAAUUCCGGGGCUUAACUCCGGGCGUGCAGGCGAUACGGGCAUAACUUGAGUACUGUAGGGGAGACUGGAAUUCCUGGUGUAGCGGUGAAAUGCGCAGAUAUCAGGAGGAACACCGGUGGCGAAGGCGGGUCUCUGGGCAGUAACUGACGCUGAGGAGCGAAAGCAUGGGUAGCGAACAGGAUUAGAUACCCUGGUAGUCCAUGCCGUAAACGGUGGGCGCUAGGUGUAGGGGUCUUCCACGACUUCUGUGCCGUAGCUAACGCAUUAAGCGCCCCGCCUGGGGAGUACGGCCGCAAGGCUAAAACUCAAAGGAAUUGACGG
rnacentral:rRNA from 1 species